rnacentral:rRNA from 2 species
ACCCGCUGAACUUAAGCAUAUCAAUAAGCGGAGGAAAAGAAACCAACAGGGAUUGCCUUAGUAACGGCGAGUGAAGCGGCAAGAGCUCAAAUUUGAAAUCUGGGUCUUUCGGACUCCGAGUUGUAAUUUGAAGAGGUAGCUUCGGUUGCGGCCCCGGUCUAAGUUCCUUGGAACAGGACGUCGUAGAGGGUGAGAAUCCCGUACACGGCUGGGGCUUUUGGCCAUGUGUAGCGCCUUCGAAGAGUCGAGUUGUUUGGGAAUGCAGCUCAAAAUGGGUGGUAAAUUUCAUCUAAAGCUAAAUAUUGGCGAGAGACCGAUAGCGCACAAGUAGAGUGAUCGAAAGAUGAAAAGCACUUUGAAAAGAGAGUUAAACAGUACGUGAAAUUGUUGAAAGGGAAGCGCUUGCAAUCAGACCUGCUUGCGGUUGAUCAACGUUCCUUCUGGGUCGUGCACUCUGCCGUUUGCAGGCCAGCAUCGGUUAGGGCGGUGGGACAAAGGUAGCGGGAAUGUGGCUCCUUUCGGGGAGUGUUAUAGCCCGUUGCGUAAUGCCACCAGCUCUGACCGAGGUCCGCGGUUCGCCUAGGAUGCUGGCUUAAUGAUUGUAAGCGACCCGUCUUGAAACACGG